rnacentral:rRNA from 1 species
UCUGGUGGCGAGUGGCGAACGGGUGAGUAAUAUAUCGGAACAUACCCAGUAGUGGGGGAUAACUAUCCGAAAGGAUAGCUAAUACCGCAUACGAUCUGUGGAUGAAAGCAGGGGAUCUUCGGACCUUGUGCUAUUGGAAUGGCCGAUAUCUGAUUAGCUAGUUGGUAGGGUAAAAGCCUACCAAGGCGACGAUCAGUAGCUGGUCUGAGAGGACGACCAGCCACACUGGAACUGAGACACGGUCCAG